AUAGAGAAUAGUUAGUGGCAGACGGGUGAGUAAUGCAUAGGAAUCUACCUAGUAGUAUGGGAUAGCCACUAGAAAUGGUGGGUAAUACUGUAUAAUCCCUGCGGGGGAAAGAUUUAUCGCUAUUAGAUGAGCCUAUGUUAGAUUAGCUAGUUGGUAGGGUAAAGGCCUACCAAGGCGAUGAUCUAUAGCUGGUCUGAGAGGAUGAUCAGCCACACUGGAACUGAGAUACGGUCCAGACUCCUACGGGAGGCAGCAGUGGGGAAUAUUGGACAAUGGGCGCAAGCCUGAUCCAGCUAUGCCGCGUGAGUGAGGAAGGCCUUAGGGUUGUAAAACUCUUUCAGUAGGGAAGAUAAUGGCGGUACCUACAGAAGAAGUCCCGGCAAACUCCGUGCCAGCAGCCGCGGUAAUACGGAGGGGGCAAGCGUUGUUCGGAAUUAUUGGGCGUAAAGGGCAUGUAGGCGGUUCGGUAAGUUAAAGGUGAAAUGCCAGGGCUUAAC
rnacentral:rRNA from 1 species